rnacentral:rRNA from 1 species
UACGGAGGGUGCAAGCAUUAAUCGGAAUUAUUGGGCGUAAAGGGCGCGUAGGCGGGUAAGUAAGUCAGAUGUGAAAUUCCGGGACUCAAUUCCGGAGCUGCAUUUGAAACUGCUUGUCUUGAGGAUUGGCGGUGAGAACGGAAUUCCACGUGUAGCGGUGAAAUGCGUAGAUAUGUGGAAGAACACCGGUGGCGAAAGCGGUUCUCUAGCUAAUAACUGACGCUGAGGCGCGAGAGCAAGGGGAUCAAACAGG